rnacentral:rRNA from 1 species
GAUGAACGCUGGCGGCGUGCCUAAUACAUGCGAGUCGAGCGAACAGACGAGGAGCUUGCUCCUCUGACGUUAGCGGCGGACGGGUGAGUAACACGUGUAUAACCUACCUAUAAGACUGGGAUAACUUCGGGAAACCGGAUCUAAUACCGGAUAAUAUAUUGAACCGCAUGGUUCAAUAGUGAAAGACGGUUUUGCUGUUACUUAUAGAUGGAGCCGCGCGGCAUUAGCUAGUUGGUAAGGUAACGGCUUACCAAGGCAACGAUGCGUAGCCGACCUGAGAGGGGGACCGGCCACACUGGAACUGAGAAACGGUCAAGACUCCUACGGGAGGCAGCAGUAGGGAAUUUUGCGCAAUGGGCGAAAGCUUGACGGAGCAACGCCGCGUGAGUGAUGAAGGUCUUCGGAUCGUAAAACUCUUUUAUUAGGGAAGAACAAAUGUGUAAGUAACUAUGCACGCCUUGACGGUACCUAAUCAGAAAGCGACGGCUAACUACGUG